rfam:Marininema halotolerans strain DSM 45789 genome assembly, contig: Ga0104500_110
GGACGAUUAGCUCAGUUGGGAGAGCAUCUGCCUUACAAGCAGAGGGUCGGCGGUUCGAGCCCGUCAUCGUCCA